rnacentral:rRNA from 1 species
ACGUAGGGUGCGAGCGUUAAUCGGAAUUACUGGGCGUAAAGCGUGCGCAGGCGGUUCUAUAAGACAGAUGUGAAAUCCCCGGGCUUAACCUGGGAACUGCGUUUGUGACUGUAGAACUAGAGUGCGGCAGAGGGGGGUGGAAUUCCACGUGUAGCAGUGAAAUGCGUAGAGAUGUGGAGGAACACCGAUGGCGAAGGCAGCCCCCUGGGUCGACACUGACGCUCAUGCACGAAAGCGUGGGGAGCAAACAGGAUUAGAUACCCUGGUAGUCCACGCCCUAAACGAUGCGAACUAGGUGUUGGGGAAGGAGACUUCCUUAGUACCGCAGCUAACGCGUGAAGUUCGCCGCCUGGGGAGUACGGUCGCAAGAUUA